GACGAACGCUGGCGGCGUGCUUAACACAUGCAAGUCGAGCGGUAAGGCCCUUUCGGGGGUACACGAGCGGCGAACGGGUGAGUAACACGUGGGUGACCUGCCCUCAGCUCUGGGAUAAGCCUGGGAAACUGGGUCUAAUACUGGAUAUGACUCCACGGCGCAUGUCGUGGGGUGGAAGGCCUUGUGCGGCUGAGGAUGGGCCCGCGGCCUAUCAGCUUGUUGGUGGGGUGANGGCCUACCAAGGCGACGACGGGUAGCCGGCCUGAGAGGGCGACCGGCCACACUGGGACUGAGACACGGCCCAGACUCC
rnacentral:rRNA from 1 species